UCCAUAAAAGCUCACAAACAGCUGUGA
rnacentral:piRNA from 1 species